rnacentral:rRNA from 1 species
AUGCAAUCUACCUUUUACAGAGGGAUAGCCCAGAGAAAUUUGGAUUAAUACCUCAUAGUAUUAUUUACUGGCAUCAUUAAAUAAUUAAAGUUCCAACGGUAAAAGAUGCGCAUGCGUCCCAUUAGCUAGAUGGUAAGGUAACGGCUUACCAUGGCGACGAUGGGUAGGGGUCCUGAGAGGGAGAUCCCCCACACUGGUACUGAGACACGGACCAGACUCCUACGGGAGGCAGCAGUGAGGAAUAUUGG